CCUACGGGAGGCUGCAGUGGGGGAUAUUGCACAAUGGGGGAAACCCUGAUGCAGCGACGCCGCGUGGGCGAAGACGUAUUUCGGUAUGUAAAGCCCUAUCAGCCGGGAAGCAAAACUGACGGUACCUGAGUAAGAAGCACCGGCUAAAUACGUGCCAGCAGCCGCGGUAAUACGUAGGGUGCACGCGUUAACCGGAUUUACUGGGGGUAAAGGGAGCGCAGGCGGCACGGCAAGCCUGAUGGGAAAGCCCGCGGCCCAACCGCGGGACUGCGGUGGGAACUAGCGGGCUGGAGUGCCGGAGAGGUAGGCGGAAUGCCUAGUGUAGCGGUGAAAUGCGUAGAUAUUAGGAGGAACACCAGUGGCGAAGGCGGCCUACUGGACGGUGACUGACGCUGAGGCUCGAAAGCGUGGGGAGCAAACAGGAUUAGAUACCCUGGUAGUC
rnacentral:rRNA from 1 species